GACGAACGCUGGCGGCGUGCUUAACACAUGCAAGUCGAACGGACAGGCCCUGCGUUUGUGGGGUGCUCGAUUGGCGAACGGGUGAGUAACACGUGAGUAACCUGCCCUUGACUUUGUGAUAACUUCACGAAACUGGGGCUAAUAUCGGAUAGGAUCUCCUGCUGCAUGUGGGGCGUUGGAAAGUUUCGGCGUUUGUGGAUGGUCUGGAGGCUUAUCAGCUUGUUGGUGGGGUAGUGGCAUACCAAGGUUUUGACGGGUAGCCCGCCUGAGAGGGUGACCGGCCACCAUGGGCCUGCGGUAGGGACCAGAAUGCUACCGGCCGCAGCAGUGGGGAACAUUGCAGAAUGAGGGGACGCCUGAUGUAGAAGCCCCGCGUGCGGGAAGCCCUGUUAUGGGUUGUAAACAGAUUUCGACUUUGACAAACCCUGAGUGACGGUAAUGGGUAAAGAAGCACCGGCUAACUACGUG
rnacentral:rRNA from 1 species